UAGGUAGGUGGUCUCAUUUGUCUGGGGUGAAAGCCUUGAGCUUAACUCAAGAAGUGCCCCAGAAACGGUGAGACUAGAGUCCUGGAGAGGGUCGUGGAAUUCCCGGUGUAGCGGUGAAAUGCGUAGAGAUCGGGAGGAACACCAGAGGCGAAGGCGGCGACCUGGACAGGUACUGACACUCAACUACGAAAGCGUGGGGAGCAAACA
rnacentral:rRNA from 1 species